rnacentral:rRNA from 1 species
GUGAAUCAUCGAAUCUUUGAACGCACAUUGCGCCCCUUGGUAUUCCAGGGGGCAUGCCUGUUUGAGCGUCAUUUCCUUCUCAAAUACUUGUAUUUGGUUGUGAGUGACACUCUCUUCUGAGUUAACUUGAAAUUGUUGGCCGCUGGGCCAUUGCAGCUGGUGUUUUGCGUCUUUUCGCAGGAGCACGGCAUGUCGUAUUAGGUUUUACCAACUCCGGCACGUUGUCUUCUGGCUAACGGGAAGUGCUUUUAGCAUUGCUACAAGGACUCUGGCAAACAGUACUCUUUAAGUUUGACCUCAAAUCAGGUAGGAAUACCCGCUGAACUUAA